rnacentral:rRNA from 1 species
UACGUAGGGGGCAAGCGUUGUCCGGAAUUAUUGGGCGUAAAGAGCGCGUAGGCGGUCCGAUAAGUCGGCUGUGAAAGUCAUGGGCUCAACCCAUGAAAGCCGGCCGAUACUGUCGGACUAGAGUUCGGAAGAGGCGAGUGGAAUUCCUGGUGUAGCGGUGAAAUGCGCAGAUAUCAGGAGGAACACCAAUGGCGAAGGCAGCUCGCUGGGACGGUACUGACGCUGAGACGCGAAAGCGUGGGGAGCAAACAGG